AUCUAUGGUUGUGUCGGUGGAUUUCGUGACGUUAACCUGGCGGCCCUGAAAACGUUGGACUGACCGUACGUUUUCGACUACCCUUCGUUGGGGCGCGAAUGUAAAACGCGAGUGUUUUUUAAUCAUCGCGGUCGCCGCUUAGGAAUAUCACGGACUAGUUCGGGAACACUGCCGGGCUAUUGUCGUUGCUGCCAUUGUCACCUCACUAAUAGAGAUACAAGAACGAAGUAACGCCCAACGAUGAAAUAUAUUCCGAUACCUACUACACGGAAUAACUCAUGUAAUCGCUGAAAACUAUGGUUGAACAGUAAGGAGAGGAAGAUACACAACUACCAAUUCCUCUACGACACGAAAGCUUUUUUUUUUACCAGAGAAGACGGACGGAAACGAAACACAGAAAACACACGCAAAACAAGAAGAAGAAGAAUAGUGCCGGAAAUGGUGGUGGUAAAAAGAAAAUUGAAUGGCAUAAAUUUUCAGAAGAAGAAAAGAACAUUGAUUCGAUUAUCUUUCGCGCAAUAGCCAGCCUGCCGUCGUCGUCGUCGAGUCUCGUGAAGAAGGUUGUGUAAGUGCGGCCGCCAGCUCUUGUGUAUACGUGUGUUUGUGUUUCUCGUCCUGCCAUCUUGAAAGUCAUCCUAUUUCUUACUGGUGGCGGCGCUGGUUCACGUGUUCGGGAAGCGUGCACAGUGCGUGUGUCUUGCACGCACUGUGCUCUAGUCAGGCAAGCAACGAGCGAAGAAACCUUGCUUUCGGUGAAACUACGCGAUAUAACGGUUCAUCGACGACGACACAAUAGGACCGCGAUGAAAGCAAGUUUGUCGAUAACUUUACAUCAUAGUGGGAGUGAUAACGAGUGUCGUAGCAGUAGUAGAAGUAACGGCAGCAACAGUAUACACGUCACUAGUACCGGUAACAAGAGUGGAAAUGACAAUGGUUUUAACUCCAACGAAAGAUCGCGUGUGGAAUAUAGUGUGCAGGUUGAGCAUGAGCCACGUGGCAGUGAUGAGAUUUUCAAGCAAUUGUGUUUUUACGUGGUAUACCCGCACUGAUUGUGAGUGCUAGUAGAUAAAGAGAAAGCGGGAGACAGAGAGAUAGAAGCCAGCAAGACUCUCGUGGAGAGCAGCGGGGCACUGAAAGAUAUGUGGACCUUUGUGCGAACAGCUGUACCGGAAGUUGUGAGAACAAGUGGAGUGCAACGUGCUCCGCCUAAUCGGUGAUAGGAAAACGUCGCUGGAGCAACAGCGCAAGAAAGAAAUUUCAAACGUCGGUUAAGUUGUGUUGCGAGUGUACGAUAAUCGAAUUGUGUAGAAUUCAUGAA